rnacentral:rRNA from 1 species
CCUACGGGCGUCAGCAGUGGGGAAUAUUGCACAAUGGGGGAAACCCUGAUGCAGCGACGCCGCGUGAGUGAAGAAGUCAUUCGUUACGUAAAGCUCUAUCAGCAGGGAAGAAAUACUGACCUUACGGUCAGCCGACUGUACCUGAGUAAGACGCCCCGGCUAACUACUUGCCAGCAGCCGCGGUAAUACGUAGGGGGCAAGCGUUAUCCGGAUUUACUGUGUGUAAAGGGGGCGUAGACGGUGGGCCAAGUCUGGAGGGAAAUGCCGCAGCUUAACUGCGGAACUGCGUUGGAACCUGGCGAACUAGAGUGCGGGAGGGGUAAGCGGAAUGUCUAGUG